GGUUCUCUCCGGCGGGCACCCAGCACAGCAAGACAAUGGACAAAACCCCUGCUGAAGCCUGCCUGACCUGCUCAGACAGGCCUCGCACGGCGGCCUCUAUUUUGCUCUGUUUUAUUUCAUUCUGUCACUAUCUUAAAGAGAAAGACAGCAGGAUUUCUCCCCAACAGUUUUUCCCCUCAGGGUAGGGGAUGUCAGCCAGAGGGUGCAGAAGCAGAAAGACUGAAAGGAAAAGAGAAAACACAACAAAACAUAACCCUGCUUGACAGAGCUGACGGUUCAAUCUCAAGUGUUAAUGUCUGGGCGUCACGUGUGGUCGCAAAUCAACUAAGGAAACAGACAUUGAACACAACCUUCCCUUACCCUCCAAAACUCGUGACAACAGAAUGCCGAGUUUACUAAGAAA